rnacentral:rRNA from 1 species
UACAGAGGUCUCAAGCGUUGCUCGGAAUCACUGGGCGUAAAGGGUGCGUAGGCGGGUCUUUAAGUCAGGGGUGAAAUCCUGGAGCUCAACUCCAGAACUGCCUUUGAUACUGAGGAUCUUGAGUUCGGGAGAGGUGAGUGGAACUGCGAGUGUAGAGGUGAAAUUCGUAGAUAUUCGCAAGAACACCAGUGGCGAAGGCGGCUCACUGGCCCGAUACUGACGCUGAUGCACGAAAGCGUGGGGAGCAAACAGG